ensembl:snoRNA small nucleolar RNA SNORA31
UCCCAUCCACUGACAGACCUUCAACAGUUCUUCUGGUUUGCACUAGGAUGCCAAAGAAAAUGUUCCCGGUGCUUCCUGCCUGUCUUUGUAGCAGUCCAGAUUGAAUUGGGGAGUACAUAU